AGCGAACGCUGGCGGCAGGCUUAACACAUGCAAGUCGAGCGGACCUUUCGGGGUCAGCGGCGGACGGGUGUGUAACGCGUGGGAACGUGCCUUCCGGUUCGGAAUAACCCUGGGAAACUAGGGCUAAUACCGGAUACGCCCUUAUGGGGAAAGGUUUACUGCCGGAAGAUCGGCCCGCGUCUGAUUAGCUAGUUGGUGGGGUAACGGCCUACCAAGGCGACGAUCAGUAGCUGGUCUGAGAGGAUGAUCAGCCACACUGGGACUGAGACACGGCCCAGACUCCUACGGGAGGCAGCAGUGGGGAAUAUUGGACAAUGGGCGCAAGCCUGAUCCAGCCAUGCCGCGUGAGUGAUGAAGGCCUUAGGGUUGUAAAGCUCUUUUAUCCGGGACGAUAAUGACGGUACCGGAGGAAUAAGCCCCGGCUAACUUCGUG
rnacentral:rRNA from 1 species